rnacentral:rRNA from 1 species
ACAAAAACAUCUUUUCUUGUUAGUUUUUGAAGUAUAGCCUGCCCACUGACUUAUUUGUGUUGAAGGGCCGCGGUAUUUUGACCGUGCAAAGGUAGCAUAAUCAUUAGUUCUUUAAUUGUGAUCUGGUAUGAAUGGCUUGACGAGACAUGAGCUGUCUUAGAGGUGUUGAUUUAUUGAAUUUGGUUUUUAAGUUAAAAUUCUUAAAUGUUUUUAUGGGACGAGAAGACCCUAUAGAGUUUUACAUUCUGUUCUAUAAUGUUUUAAUGUUUGUUUAUUGGUUUGUUAGGAUUUAUUGUUUUGUUGGGGUGAUGGGAGGAAUGAAUUUAACUCCUCUUAAUUUUUUUAUACUUGUUUGUAUUUGUUUUGAUCCAUUUAUUUUGAUUAUAAGAUUAAAUUACCUUAGGGAUAACAGCGUUAUCUUCCUUGAGAGUUCUUAUUGGCGGGAAGGUUUGCGACCUCGAUGUUGGAUUAAGGUGAAUUUUUGGUGCAGGAGCUAAAAUGAUUUGGUCCU